UACGUAGGGGGCAAGCGUUGUCCGGAAUCAUUGGGCGUAAAGCGCGUGUAGGCGGUCCGGUAAGUCCGCUGUGAAAGUCGGGGGCUUAACCCUCGGAUGCCGGUGGAUACUGUCGGGCUUGAGUACGGAAGAGGCGAGUGGAAUUCCUGGUGUAGCGGUGAAAUGUGCAGAUAUCAGGAGGAACACCAAUUGCGAAGGCAGCUCGCUGGGACGUUACUGACGCUGAGACGCGAAAGCGUGGGGAGCGAACAGG
rnacentral:rRNA from 1 species